rnacentral:rRNA from 1 species
GUUUUUAGAAAUAAAUUUAAUUUAAAAAUUUUUAAUUUUUAUUAAUUAUUUAUAUUAAUUAAUAAAUUUAUUAAUUUAAAUAUUUUAAGGGAUAAGCUUUAAAAUAAAUUUUUAUAAAUUAAUUGAAUAAUAAUUAAAAAUAUAUACAUAGAAUUAGUAAUUAUUAAAAAUUUUGUUAUAAAUUAUUUUAUAAUAUAUAUUAUUUAUUUUAAUUUUAAAUUUUUAUAAAAAUAUUUUUUAAAAUUUUUUUUUAAUAAGAAAUAAUGAUAAAAUUAGUAUAUAUAAUAUGUAAAAGUAAUUUUAUUUGAUAAGUUUAUAUAAAGAACUCGGCAAAUAUUUUACUCGCCUGUUUAACAAAAACAUGUCUUUUUGAGUUAAUUUUAAAGUCUAACCUGCCCAAUGAAUAAAAUUUUAAUGGCCGCAGUAUUUUGACUGUGCAAAGGUAGCAAAUCAUUAGUCUUUUAAUUGA